rnacentral:lncRNA from 1 species
UGCUCUGCCCUUAGGAGCUGGUUGGACGCUUUGCGCGAUGAUCACGCCUCUUCCGCCAGCAAAUUCGACCUCCCGGCGUCUGGGCGGAGAGUCGCCCAGGGGCAGAGCGCUCAGCUAGGGCGCGUGCGAACUCUUCUGUGGUUUGUAAUCUGGACGUUCUGACUGCUUACUGAUUUGCAUUCCUGGUGCCCCACUCCUUCUAACUACAGUGUCUCUCCAAGAACAAGUGAAGCGUCUCACCAAGAUCAGGAUGAUGCAGAGAACCAUGGGGUUACCUCGGGGCCCCCUGAUGCAAACAACACAAAAACAGGCUGCAUUUGGCAUGAUCAGAAUCCAGAGAUCGUGGGUGGCCAUCCCAUCAAGGGGAAUUUGCCACUUACUCAGGAGGAGGAUACGCUGUGAGACUUGGAAGAAACUCCAGUCCUGCAGUCAGUCUUACAUUCGUGUUAACACGAGUGAAAGGUGGGACGUUAGAAAUCCUACUUUGCAGGCGGACGAGAUGGGGAAACGCAGCUUCUCACGUGCUGUGUGAGCGGCGGUGGGAGGCCGAGGCCUUUUCCUCCCCUUCCCCGAGUUCCGCAGCCGCGUGAGCAGAGCCGCUGGCUAGACCGCUGCACCGAAAGCCUCUUUGCGGAAUUUGCGGUCCUCACUUUCCAGCGUGAACCUGUUCUGUGGAGAGACCCUGACUUUGGAGUCCAGCAAGGUGGGUACGAAGGCCUCCUUUCUCUGCCCUCUGUGACCUGCGUGUCUCAGGAGAAGACCCUAUUUCUUUCUCUAUCUUACGCCAGUAAAUGACAUUAUUUAAAUUAAAGUCAUUACACAUAAUUUUAAAAGCGAAAUAGUUCAAGGCAGGAACUACUAGCAGUCCUCCCUUCGUGUCCGCUUCAUUACUGCUCUCCAGAGGCAGGUGUGUUUAACUGAUUCUGUGGAGUUUAAAAAUGAACAUGUUUCAGGUUGUGGGGGAAGUAAAUUAGGGUUGUUUUUAUUUUUAAAAUUUUUUUCUUGCUUUUUAGGGCCGCCCCUACAGCAUAUGGACGUUCCCAAGCCUAGGGGUCAAAUCGCAACUACAGCUGCCGGCCUACGCCAGAUCCGAGCCGCAUCUGCAACCUACACCACAGCUCACGGCAACCCCGGAUCUUUAACCCACCGAACGAGGCCAGGGUUCCAACCUGUGUACUCAUGGAUGCUAGUCAGAUUCGUUUCUGAUGAGCCACAAGGGGAACUCUGAGAUAAAUUACCUUUGAAGUAACAUAAACACACUAUUAUAUAUGAAAUAGAUAAACAAUAAGGACCUAAUUUAUAGCACAAAGAACUGUACUCAAUAUUUUUAACAACUUACAAUGGAAAAGAAUCUGAAAAAGAACAUAUAUGUGUAACUGAGUCAUUUUGCUGUACACUUGAAACUGACACUGUAAACGAACUAGAGGGAAAAAAACAUAAAAGGAGUUCCCUCAUGGCUCAGUGGGCUAAGGCUCUGGCAUCGGCACUGCUGUGGCUCUGGUUGGAGCUGCGGUAUGAUUUCAAUCCCUGGCACAGGAACGUCUGCAGCUACAGGCAUAGCCAAAAAAAAAAAACACAAAAAAAAAUUACUAACGUGCUUAUUAGCUAUUUCAUGAAUCUUCAGUUUUUGAUAUCUCUUUUUAUGAGAAUUCAGAUUUUUUUUUAUUACUCAGAUGAAUUUAUCACAUCUGUAGUUGUACAAUGAUCAUAACAAUCGGAUUUCACAGGAUUUCCAUCCCACAGCCCAGGCACAUCCCCCCACCCCCAAACUGUCUCCUCCGGAGACUGUAAGCUUUUCAAAGUCUGUGAGUCAGCAUCUGUUCUGCAAAGAAGUUCAGUCUGUCCUUUUUUCAGAUUCCACCUAUCAGUGAAAGCAUUUGAUGUAGGUAGAGAAUUCACAUUUCUUAAACCCACAUAUAUCCCAACAUAGAAACAUAUGAAAAUAUUCCCCCAAUGUAGUAAUGCUCAUUCUCCCAACAUAGUAAUAUAAUCAGUGAUUAAUAAGUUUCAUUACUGUGAUUAUAUAAAUGUUCUCAAAGAUGAGGCAUGUAUUACAAUUAAAUUUCCUUUCUUCCACUUCUUGUUUGCCCUAGAAUUGACAAUUUUGUUUUCAUUUGCUGGGUUUUACAUGCAUGUGUCAUUGACCUCCAGACUCUUCCUAGAAGUAAAAAUCUCAUUCUGUUCAAAACUAUCAAGUAACCUAUCACUUUAUCUUGUUAAGAGACUUUCUCUGGAGGCCCUUCAUUGUUUUGGUGUGGAAAAUACAUCUCGAGGCCUCCUCGGGGGCUCUUAGCCUGGACACUCCCUCGACUGUCUCCCGUCUCCUCUCCUGGAUCACCUUCCUUCUCAGUCCCCGUCUUCCUCUCUUGGUUGACUCUCCCACUUUGCUGGAGCAUAUCCUCUAACACUUCUCUUGUGCAUUUCCAGAAAGUUAAGUUGGUUGUUUUUUGGGGGCCGCACCUACGGCCUAUGGAGGUUCUGAGGCUAGGAGUCGAAUCAGGGCUGUAGCCGCCAGCCUACACCACAGCCACAGCAGAUGUGAGCCACGUCUGCGACCUACACCACAGCUCGUGGCAAUGCUGGAUCCUUAACUCACUGAGUGAGGCCCAGGAUCGAACUUUCGUCCUCAUGAAUACCAGGCAGAUUUGUUAACCACUGAGCCAUGACGGGAACUUCAAGAAGUAACAUUUUUUGAAGCCUUAUAUGUCCAACUUUUUUUUUUUCCCAUCGCAUUUGAUUGCUCAUCUGUCGGGAUACAAUUAUCCCUCAGAGUUUUAAAAAUAUAGCUCCUCUGUCUUCUAGCUUCUCAUAUUGCCAUAAAGAAGUGUGAUGAUGCCCUUGCUCCUAAAGAUUUUUGGAAUUGUCUCUUUGUCCUCAAAGUUAUAAGAGGAAUUCAUGGUGAGUCCUUUGAUCUGGAAAUGGGUCCUUAAGUUCUGAGAGGGUUUUUUUUUAAUUUCUCUAUUUUUUUUUUCUUCCUGAUUUUUCUUGGCAAUUGAUGUUGGAACUCAUGACCUGAUCCUCUGACUUGCUUACAUCUUUGGUUUUAUUUUUCAUUUUUUCCUUCUAGUUUCUGAGAAAUUCAAUUUCAAAACUGUUCAGUUUGCAAGCCAUUUUUGGAAUAUUUUAAUUCCAAAAAAUUUUUUGUUCUCAUAAUGUCUUUUUCUUUUUUUGCUUUUUCAAGGCCCCACCCACCACACAUGGAAGUUCCCAGGCUAGGGGUCAACAGAGAUACAGCUACCGGCCUACACCAGAGCCACAGCAACAUGGGAUCCAAGCUGCGUCUACAACCUACACCACAGCUCAUGGCAACACUGGAUCCUUAACCCACUGAUCGAGGCCAGGGAUCAAACCCUCGUCCUCAUGGAUACCAGGCGGAUUUGUUUCUGCUGUGCCACAAGGAUAAAUACCUAAUGCUUUUUUAAAAAUUUUUUUUAAUUUUUAUUUUUUGCCAUUUUUUGGGCUGCUCCCGCGGCGUAUGGAGGUUCCCAGGCUAGGGGUCGAAUCAGAGCUGUGGCUGCCGGCCCAUGCCACAGCCACAGCAAGGCCGGAUCUGAGCCACAUCUAUGACCUACACCACAGCUCACAGCAACGCUGGAUCCUUAACCCACUGAGCAAGGCCAGGGACCGAACCUGCAAUGUCAUGGUUGCUAGUCGGAUUUGUUAACCACCGAGCCACAAUGGGAACUGCCCUAAUGCUUCUUUUUCAAUGUUUCUUUUAUGGAUGCAAUAUCCUCUCUACUCUCUAAGGAUAUUAUAGGUUUGGUUUUUUUUCUGCUUCUUCACUUCCUAUAAUUCUUGUUGGCUUCUUCAAUUUUUUGGUGUUUUGAUCUCCAGUUUUCAAUGUUAGAGGUGGUUGCUCUUUCAUAUUUAUGAGGGAGGCAGUAGAAAGCAAAUAAAUGCUAUCGGGUAGUCGGUUUGCA